rnacentral:rRNA from 1 species
CCAUCCCAGUUCGGAUCGCAGGCUGCAACCCGCCUGCGUGAAGUUGGAAUCGCUAGUAGUCGCGGAUCAGCAUGCCGCGGUGAAUACGUUCCCGGGCCUUGUACACACCGCCCGUCACACCAUGAGAGUCGGGAACACCCGAAGUCCGUAGUCUAACCGCAAGGGGACGCGGCCGAAGGUGGGUUCGAUAAUUGGGGUGAAGUCGUAACAAGGUAUC